GGGCUCGUUCGUCUCUUCACCAACCUCGAUUUUAACUUCUCCGCCUAUGUCUCCGCCAUCGGAUUCGCCGCCAAUUUCGCCUAGUAGCCCGCAGGUGGUUGGUGGGUCUUUUAACUCGAUGAGCGAGCUCGUUGCCUGUAUGCGUGGUUUGCAGGUCGGUAAGAUGAAAGUGGGGCCUGCAUCUUGGGGCAUGCAGAACGGAUCCGGGUUUGGGUCGCCUCGCGGAUCGUCUCUACGCCCCGGGUUCUGCAGUCUCCCUUCCACUCCAACCCGGACAAUGAGUCGUCCUGGAGUCGGUCAGCUGGACUUCUGGGACCCAAGUAUGGAGGAAGAGCCCGCAAUGGAGAGGGUGGAAUCUGGAAGGGA
rnacentral:misc_RNA from 1 species